rnacentral:rRNA from 1 species
AUUGAACGCUGGCGGCAGGCUUAACACAUGCAAGUCGAGCGGGGGAAGGUAGCUUGCUACCGGACCUAGCGGCGGACGGGUGAGUAAUGCUUAGGAAUCUGCCUAUUAGUGGGGGACAACAUCUCGAAAGGGAUGCUAAUACCGCAUACGUCCUACGGGAGAAAGCAGGGGAUCUUCGGACCUUGCGCUAAUAGCUGAGCCUAAGUCGGAUUAGCUAGUUGGUGGGGGAAAGGCCUACCAAGGCGACGAUCUGUAGCGGGGCUGAGAGGAUGAUCCGCCACACUGGGACUGAGACACGGCCCAGACUCCUACGGGAGGCAGCAGUGGGGAAUAUUGGACGAUGGGGGGAACCCUGAUCCAGCCAUGCCGCGUGUGUGAAGAAGGCCUUAUGGUUGUAAAGCACUUUAAGCGAGGAGGAGGCUACUUUAGCUAAUACCUAGAGAUAGUGGACGUUACUCGCAGAAUAAGCACCGGCUAACUCUGUGCCAGCCGCCGCAGUAA